rnacentral:lncRNA from 1 species
UGUGUAACAGCCUGCAAUGGUGUGUUACAGCAUGCAACGUUGUGUCAGCAUGUAAAUGUGUGUAAGAAUGUGCAAUAGUGUGUAAGCAUGUAAACAUAUGACAGCAUGUAACAGUGUGUAAUAGCCUGUAAAUGCGUGUAAUGUUGUGUGUAACAGCGUGCAAUGAUGUGUAAGCAUGUGUAACAGCAUGUAAACAUGUAGAGCGUGGAACAUUGCGUAAGCACGUGUAAGCAUGUGUAAACACAUGUAACGGUGUGUAAGUGCAGAAAUGUAACAGCAUGUAAACGCAUGUAACUGUGUAAAUGUGUGUAACAAAAUGUAAAUGCAUGUAAACACGUGUAACAGCAUGUAUAACGUGUGGAGCAGCGUGUAAACGUGUGUAACGAGGAAACAGCACUCUCUCCCGCUCACCUCACAAAAGGACACCACUGUGCACUAAGAACGGCCUUUAUUUGCUUGAAAAAGAAUUUGCUUUUUUUGUUAGUGGGUGCACUCAGGUUACGAGUAUCUCAGCUCGUGCUCGUUGUUACCUUACAACAGCAGACUGUCUUGACCAGCUCUUUUUCUAAUUACCUUCCGGCCCGAGAACCGCCCUCAAGAACUCAAAGUAUUGGUGAACAGACAAUCUGGUUUCAUAUAGCAACUGCCAGCAUAAAAUAAUCCCAUACAAGGGGCAGUGGUAGGGUUUUGCUCAGCUUACCUUCCAGCAGUCCUGUAUGUAACAAACAGCACAGGCAAGGCACAGCCCUGCCCAAGCACCGAGCAGCUUCAGUCAGGGCUCUGGAAAGCUGCUGGGCAGCUGCAUGCAGAACAGCGCUAUUUGCUUAGGAGAGAAGCUGCGAACCGAUCCUUGGCUGUAAUAUCAGCCCGAGCAGUAAGUGGUGCAGUCCCUUAGGAACUUGGGCCACCAGCUGUGACAGCAGGCUCAGAGAGGCCACUCUUCAUACCCCACAUUAGCUACUGAGGCCACUACCACCACCACGGGAGCUCCCAGCAGUGGGGCAGGUGCCUCGUGCAACAGCUGGACGCUAAGAUUACUUUAUGCUGGAAGUACAGGAAAAGAGAUGACAAAAAUUUUACAAAGAUCGACAAUCAACAAGGCUAUCUGGAGCAAGUAGUAUGGACUGAAGUGUCACACCAAGUUACCACACAAGCCACGGCCUCGUCGCAUCGGAGGCUUUUUACAAUUUAAUUUGCAAACAGAACUGCCAUAAAUCUCAUUUACCAAACCGUGUCUACUCAAACGCAGAUAGAAAACCCAAGGAGGUAAAAUGAAUUUAAUUGUGGAAGGCCUUAAAUUACAUUAUUACAGUAGAAAAUACAGGAGGUAGAAUAUAACUGAAAGGACAAAUGCAGGUUAGAGUCAAAUCUAUAGCUCCUGUAGACUACCUACUUACUUAAAACAUGGUUUUAAAAACUAAACCCGGUAUUUCAUUACCUAUAGAAAACAGUUAAAAUAAAUUUGCCAUGAGAGCCCUUAUAUCAUGCUUGAUACAGGGAGGUAGGAUGUAAGAAUCAGGACACAUGAGACAUGACACUUAUCUACAGCUUCUGUUUGCUUUACUGAGGACAGUUCCAGAGGUCAGUCACCCUCCUCUGCUUCAGACUCCGACUCUUCCUCAGCAUUCUUGAGCCAUUCAACAAACUUCUUCAUUUGCUCCAGGAAGACGCUCUUUCCUUUCGCAAGAUGUGCAUCUUUAUACCACUUCAGGAUGGGUUCUUCGCUCAGAACUUCAGCUUUAUAGAAGAGCACCACUAUUUUCUGGAAGGCCUUCAUGAAGUGAAUGUUAUCAUAACAAUACUCCUGAAUCUUCAACAGAAGAGUCAGCUCUGACUGACCUUGGGUAGUAAAGGCAGCAAGUAGAGGGCUGUAUUGCUUCAAGUGCUUAAUGGCUUGCUCUGCUACCAGCUCCUCCUUUUUGUUCCACUCCACAGUGCUCAUCACACUUGACCAGAUUAUGGCUAUCACAGUCUGUUCUGAGAUGUUGUUCUUCUUCAUCUCCUCCUUUACAUACAAGAUUAUAUCCUUAAAGGGAUCUCCCCGUGACAUCUGCUCCUGAAGUUCUUUCUGCAGCUCCUUUCGAGCUCCUAUAGUUUGCUGGUUCCGAACAUACUCAGAAAGUUCUUUCAGUCCUGCUUCAGUGAAGUACUUGGAGAAGUGUUCUACGCUUUGUUUGUUGGCUGGGAAGAGUUCCAUUAGCCUGUUAUCCAUGUUUACUUUACGAAGACUGACAGCCACUGCAUUAAUGUCUUUCUCAUUUAUCCACGAUUUGAAGAGCUUGACUGCAAAAGCUGCAGAAACACCUUCUUUUACUAAGUUCUCAUUAUAAAGACUGUUGAGAAUUGAUGCAUUAAGCGUCCCAUUGGCUAGCAGAAUACCCGUCAACAUGGCCAGUUUGUUCCUCUCAGACUCUGAGAACCCUUUCAGGAACAGCAGCAACUUUUUGACUUCAUCCUCAAAGCCUUUCUCCAGGUACUUGUAACGCCUGAUGAGCUUGUUAAAAACCUGAGCAAAUGCUUGCAUGGUUUCUAGGUCUUCCUGUGCUGCAAACACACAGACAUCUGUGCGUGUCAUGUCAUCUGCCAGGGUACCACCUGGGGCCAGCAUUCCACCAGCCACCAGGAUGUCAAAAAGUGUUUCUGCAUAGCGGCGAUAGUCAAGUUUUGCACCAGAAGCAUCGAGAAACUUUGCUACCGCCUCCAAGUCAGUGCCAGUUUCAGUUAAACCUUGAAUAAUGCAGUCCUGGAACUGGGUGGGGUCAAACCUCUCUUUUUCAUCUCUCUUUCUGGUCUUGAAGCGCUGCCCCGAUAGCGUCGGCUUCUGCUGCUUUUGAUUCAUAAAAGACGCCCGACUUUAAAGUAGAGAGAAAUCGCCCGAGGGCCCGGAGCGGAGACGAACGCGAACGGCGAAAAGGAGA